rnacentral:lncRNA from 10 species
UUGUAUUUUUCCUCCUAGAUCACCUGAUACUUCCAAGCAAGCAGGUGUUCUUUUCAGAAGCCAGAAGCUGAUAACCUGGGCUUUCUGAUCUAACCCCAGCCCAAAUUCAUUGCAAUGGAGGAAUUGGGGAGGAGAUUCUUCCUACUGAGAAGUGGGUGCCAACUCUCCCUUUCAAAUUUGUUCAUCAACAAACUAAAGGGGAUGCCAGAAAUGUCUGGAGCAAUGGAAGAACCACUGGAAUAAUGCUCCUGCCUGAUUGUAUCUACUUAACCCACUCUCCAAGAGCCAGAAUCAGAUUUCAACCGUAUGGAAUCAUCUACAAUGCAGCAGAUGGGUUUACAAGUCUCUUGGUCUCUUCAUGAAGAAGGCGCAGCAAUCGUGUCCCAAGUCCUUGAGGACUUCACAGGGUGUUCUAGUGUCCUGAGAAUAUACCUGCCUAAGCUGGUCGAUCGGAUGAGUCACAUGGCACCACCUAACAACA